GGCCUGUAGGAUCCGCACAAAACGGCACAUCGCAUACCUUGUCCACUCUUUUUACACAACACGUCGUCCAUAUAUCCUGUAACUUAAGAACUCAGCGUUCAAAGGUUCGUAAAACAAAAAAAAAAUGGAGGACUGCAACCAAAAGUACAGUUGCAGAACAGCAAAAGAAACCCUAGAAUGGAUAAACGCAAUCCUCAAUUUCAUUAAACCCUACGCUUUCUUAACCAACGCACAUGUUACCAAUUUCUUCACCCACAAGUUAUGGCAAUCCAUUGAUCCUGUCUGGCUCCAUUGCUUGCGUAACGAACCUGUCCAAAAUCUCCUCCUAAUUCCUUGUGGUAUAAUCCAGGAGCAUUGGCCUGCUUCGCUGAAGGAAUUUGUUUUAGAUUUGAAGUCUCUCGCGUUUCCUCGCGAGCAAGCGCAUUUAAACAAGCUAUUCCCGGGAGUGAAUGUGGUUUCGCUUAAUACUGUACUUGCACAAGGCAUGAAUUUCAAGAAAAAACAUGAAGUGGAAGUUCUUUCUGCGGUUGUUAGUUCUGUUGCGAAUAGUGUGGGAGCUCAAACAAUAGUUGAUGUUGGUGCUGGCCAGGGUUAUCUUGCCCAAGUUCUUUCCUUCCAGUACCAGCAUUCUGUAGUUGCUAUCGAUGCCUGUUCUCAUCAUGGAGCUGUCACGGAGAAACGUGCAGAACGGAUCAAGAAGCAUUAUGCAGCUCAAAUGCGAAAACAUUAUCCAGGAAUUGGGAUUCCAAAUGUGCCGAAGACAAUUACAUGCCGUGUCAUGUCCAUUGACAUGUUGAAAGCAUUGACUAGCAUGUCACCACAUAUUGAUAAUGUUAAGCGGCCAGAAUUGAUUGGGCAAGUUGCAGAUGAUAAGACUUCAUUGGUACUUGCUGGGUUACAUGCAUGUGGUGAUCUUUCAGUAACUAUGCUGAAUGCAUAUCUUUAUCGGACCAGGACCUUUUUAGAGUGCAAAGAUGUUAAAGCAGUUGUUAGCAUUGGAUGCUGUUAUAACCUGCUUUCUGAAGGAUGUCUUGACAUAGCUGGUUCACAAUGUGGUUUUCCUGUGAGUUGUGGUGUUAAAUCUGCUGGUAUAUCACUUGGGAAAAGUUCACGUGAUCUUGCUUGUCAGAGUGCAGAGAGAUGGAGGAGUCUCGAACAAGAUGCAGGUCUUCAUAAUUUUGAGUUGCAUGCUUUCCGUGCUGCUUUUCAGAUGGUUCUUUGUAAAUAUUAUCCUGAAAUCAUAACAUCAAGUCCCUCAAUUGGCCGUCAAGGGAAGGCGCUGCGACGCCAACAGCAAAGGAGGAUCCUGCAGUCUUCAAUUAAUUGUGAUGAAAGUAAACAUUCAUCAAUGCCUGAGACAAUUUCUCAUAUGCAAGAACUCUACAUAAAUCCACACAUGUCAGAAUCUAAAACAGAUGACUAUUCAGGCUCAGCACUGCAUUCUCAUGAAUUAUCCUUCAAUGGAGGUGCCAGAUACAAUGAAACUGCAGCUGCAAGCAAAUAUUUGCUAUUCGAGAAAUUUACUCAGUCUGGAUUAUCUCGCCUAGGUCUCAAAUCUUUGCAGGAGACACAUUUCCAUGAAAUAUGGAAGGAAGCUGAGCCAUUUGCUGGGCUUAUAGGACCAUAUUGGUCGCUGCGAGCUGCUUUAGGACCUCUUUUGGAAACUCUUCUUCUGCUUGAUAGAUUGUUGUUCCUCCAAGAGCAAGGCAGUUCUCUGGAAGCAAUCAUGUUACCUAUCUUUGAUCCUGCAUUAUCCCCAAGGAAUGUGGCCAUAAUUGCCAAAAGAAUUUGAUACAAAUUUUCAGCUCAAGAAGAGAAAUGUGGCAUCAUCCUGAAGUAUAUCGGUAUUUGAAAUAGUGCAUAUUCUGCGGAGGAAUGGGUGGUGGGGUGCGCGCGCGCGCCUGCCUGUGAUGAUUUGUCGACUAGCUGAAACGCUGUGGUUGUCACAUCAGAUAUCCUUGCUUAAAGAAGCAUCAAAUGGAGCCUCCCACUCGUGCCGGGACACGUGUGUUCACAUGCUGUGGGUUGAAUGGUUUUUGUCAUUUUAGACACCUGGUUUGUUCUUGUUCAUUUCCAUUAUUGGGUGGUUAGCAGUGACUGCAGUCGACAUGUUGAAUUUCAAAGGUAAUAUUACUGUCACUGAAUAUAAUCAAACGUUGGGAUACAGCACCUAGCAGUUCUCCUUUUGUUCCUUCUCACUGUUGUUGUCAGCAUCAAAACUAGUGAAAGGUGCCGUUACUGGUUAAGUGGCUUGAAUUUUGACCUUUGCCGUA